rnacentral:tRNA from 1 species
GGGUCGCUAGCUCAAUUGGCAGAGCAUCGGACUCUUAAUCCGCAGGUUCUGGGUUCGAUUCCCAGGCGACCCA